rnacentral:rRNA from 1 species
AUGGCCUCGGUUAACUUGAAUUUGCAGGUUGUAUACUACAGAAUUUGCAGGCAAGGGGGCGUGCCUCUCUCAACUAAAUUGGCAUAUAAAGGCGAUCUGGCAGGACAGCCCAGUCAACCCUCUGGCCACAACUAUAUGGAAGAACUUCGCGCAAACAAAUGUAGAAUUUUCAUUUGGCUUGCUAACAAGGACCGUGUCUACACCAACGAACGAAGACUUCGGAGAUCUAUCGCUACUUCGGAUGCAUGCCAUUUCUGUGGCGCAACCGAGUGCAACGCUCACCUUCUGCUCUACUGCAAUAAUCUACUGCCUGUUUGGGACGGCCUAAGGAGUAUCUUCAACGGAAGGCCGGACAACCUGUGGGAAGUUUGGCUUGGUGGGGCACUUUCAAAUAAGGUUCGCUCCAUCAUGAUCAUUCAUAUCCCAUGGAAUACUGAGAAGCGUCACAACACAAAGGUGUUCAGAAAUGAAACUCCUGGCGUCCGCCACAUUGCUAAAGCAGCAGCUGACGAUCUGCUGCUCUGGUCCCACCGGUGCAAAAAAUGCUGA